rnacentral:rRNA from 1 species
GACGUAGGGCGCGAGCGUUGUCCGGAUUUAUUGGGCGUAAAGAGCUCGUAGGCGGCUUGUCGCGUCGUCUGUGAAAUCCCGCGGCUCAACUGCGGGUCUGCAGUCGAUACGGGCAGGCUAGAGUUCGGUAGGGGAGACUGGAAUUCCAGGUGUGAGCGGUGGAAAUGCGUGAGAUAUCUGGAGGAACACCGGUGCGAAGGCGGCAUUCUGGACUGCAACUGACACUGAAGAACGAAAGCCAGGGGAGCAAACGGG